rnacentral:rRNA from 1 species
CGCGCCCCUAGUGGUGGUCGAUAUUAUUGAGCCUAAAACGUCCGUAGCCGGUCUUCUAAAUCCUUGGGUAAAUCGGACAGCUUAACUGUCCGAAUUCCGGGGAGACUGGGAGACUUGGGACCGGGAGAGGUCAGAGGUACUUCUGGGGUAGGGGUAAAAUCCUGUAAUCCUGGAAGGACCACCGGUGGCGAAGGCGUCUGACUAGAACGGAUCCGACGGUGAGGGACGAAGCCCUGGGGCGCAAACG